ACUCCUACGGGAGGCAGCAGUAGGGAAUCUUCCACAAUGGGCGCAAGCCUGAUGGAGCAGCACCGCGUGAGUGAAGAAGGGUUUCGGCUCGUAAAGCUCUGUUGUUAAAGAAGAACACGUAUGAGAGUAACUGUUCAUACGUUGACGGUAUUUAACCAGAAAGUCACGGCUAACUACGUGCCAGCAGCCGCGGUAAUACGUAGGUGGCAAGCGUUAUCCGGAUUUAUUGGGCGUAAAGAGAGUGCAGGCGGUUUUCUAAGUCUGAUGUGAAAGCCUUCGGCUUAACCGGAGAAGUGCAUCGGAAACUGGAUAACUUGAGUGCAGAAGAGGGUAGUGGAACUCCAUGUGUAGCGGUGGAAUGCGUAGAUAUAUGGAAGAACACCAGUGGCGAAGGCGGCUACCUGGUCUGCAACUGACGCUGAGACUCGAAAGCAUGGGUAGCGAACAGGAUUAGAUACCCUGGUAGGCUAGCC
rnacentral:rRNA from 1 species